CACGGAGGGCGUCGGGUCAGGCAUUCGCCAACCCGGUCAGGUCCGGAAGGAAGCAGCCGUAACGAAACCGCCUGAGGUCGGCCGCCCUCCGCCUUU
rnacentral:SRP_RNA from 1 species